GAGUAACAUGGUUAUUUGGUUUCUUGUGCUCUUUUCUCUUCUCUUUAGAAAAGAGAGCCUAGAAAAUAAAAAGAACAACAAACCAGAAGUCAACCAGAUAGCCAACAGUGACAACAAGGUUACAAUUGAUGACUAUAGAGAAGAGGAUGAAGACAAGGACCCCUACCCGCCUUGCGAUGUGCCAGUAGGGGAAGAGGAAGAGGAAGAGGAGGAGGAUGAACCUGAGGUUCCUGCCGGACCCCGUCCUCGAAGGAUCUCGGAGUUGAACAUGAAGGAAAAAAUUGCCCCCAUCCCUGAAGGGAGCGCUUUCUUCAUUCUUAGCAAGACCAACCCGAUCCGCGUAGGCUGCCACAAGCUCAUCAACCACCACAUCUUCACCAACCUCAUCCUUGUCUUCAUCAUGCUGAGCAGCGCUGCCCUGGCCGCAGAGGACCCCAUCCGCAGCCACUCCUUCCGGAACACGAUACUGGGUUACUUUGACUAUGCCUUCACAGCCAUCUUUACUGUUGAGAUCCUGUUGAAGAUGACAACUUUUGGAGCUUUCCUCCACAAAGGGGCCUUCUGCAGGAACUACU
rnacentral:sRNA from 1 species